UACGAGGGGGUGCAAGCGUUGCUCGGAAUUAUUGGGCGUAAAGGGUAGGUAGGUGGUCUCAUUUGUCUGGGGUGAAAGCCUUGAGCUUAACUCAAGAAGUGCCUCAGAAACGGUGAGACUGGAGUCCUGGAGAGGGUCGUGGAAUUCCCGGUGUAGCGGUGAAAUGCGUAGAGAUCGGGAGGAACACCAGAGGCGAAGGCGGCGACCUGGACAGGUACUGACACUCAACUACGAAAGCGUGGGGAGCAAACAGGG
rnacentral:rRNA from 1 species